AUCGCUCGCAUGGAAGACGAGCUUUGGUUUUCUUCGAAAACACGAUUACAUAGUACGUGAUAGGAUUUUAAAGAAAACAUCUCAAAGAUCGCGUAUGAGAUAUAUUCGCGUAUAUUCAAGAAGAAUGUUGAAAAUGACAAAAGCGGAGAACAUGUUUCUCUAAAAAGAAAAAAAAGAGGCAGAAUAUCAUUUGCAUUAUUAUUACGCGAAAUUAUUAAUCGAAUUAUCGACAGUAUGCAUUUAAGGCACACGCGUAUUCACCGCCAAUUGCUCUUUCUCUUCCUUUCUGUUUUUCAUGUUCGUUUAAUUUUAAUUUUAUCUUACGUUCCUUCGUAUUCACAGAGUAGAUUUUUAGAAACACUUUGGGUGAAUAUAGAACUAUGUAUGGUUUACGCGGAUGUAUGUAUUAGCAGGGCAAUUUUCUGAAUUGGUGGUUUGUCACCUUUGACCCGGUAACCGGGCUUCCUUUGUUUCCACGAUGAAACGACAAGAUGCGUAGGCGACAUGCGUCGAAGCCAGUCAGAUUGCGUGGAUCGAAGUAGUAACACAUUUUCUUAUUCCUAAGAUUCCUUUAUACGUGGCUUGCGCCGUUUAAAUCCAUCUGAAAGGGAAAUGGAAAUGGAAACUCACGUAAAUGUUAUAGAAAGGAUAUUAUAAUUAUUCCUUAAAUAAAUAAAUUGCAACUUACGAAUAAAUACUAGUUCCGGAUGAAUCCAGUUUAGACAGCUCCUUUGGCCAAUCUUAUACGUAAAAAGGAAAAGAUAUGGAGGAUAGGAAAAUUGGGGAAUUGAUAUUCGCGUAAAAUAAUGGGAAAAUUUGGAAAGCUUCUCGACCCGAACGUUACACGAUGCCGGAAAGUUAUGGCCGGAUAGAUUUCUUUGCGUAUCCCAAAGAUAUUCGAAUCUAUUACUUCAAGUGGUAUUUUCUUUCACUUUGAAAGCAUUUUUCAUUGCCACGAUCUACCGUUUCUUAUAAAAAGUAACUUUCCGAGAAAGAUUUGUCCUUUAAACUCUAUUCAAGCUCUAUGGCUUUAAUCUAUCACGUCACUAUCGUGUCACCAUCUAUUCUUCAUCCGCGAUACUCGGACAUAAAAAAGGACAGAAUGCUUGAUAAAUUGUAUCUCUAAAGGCUAGUCCUUUUAAACUCACAAAUUGGCUAUUAAGGGUGGCAAUUACUUUUCAAAUGAAAAACUUUAGACAACGCUCUUCUACUUUAAUGUAAUACCAAAGUAAAAUGAAGCAGUCGCGUCCUUUUGUUUGCAUCAUUCUGCACGAGCAGAUAUGUAUUUCGUUAAAACUUGCGCAACUUCUGUCGAGCAGCUUGCCAAUUUCCUUUUAGACGUACCAUCGACUCCUGUUGCCUUUCAAACUUUCGUCAGAAAUUUUUCUUCCUCCGCCUUUUCUGCCUUGCUACAGCGCGUCAGUAAAAUCGCGCAUACCCCGACGAGAAUCGGGUGCAAAAUGUUGACGAAAUGGUUGAUGGAACGAACGAGAUAUAGAGUUAGCUGCAUGUACGAUUUUAUACGGCUCGGUUAGAGCACGUAAGGGUAUCUCAGUGGAGCAGUUUGAGUUACAGAUGGUACGAGGUCCCGGGCUUGGGAAAUCAAUACCGUCAAAACCUCCCCUGGUCCUGUGUCACAGCUAUCCCUAUUCCUCGUGCCAGCUGUAAAGUCGUAGCCCCGCUCCACGCAGAAUACCUUGCCUUCGAUCACUUUUCUCGAGGAACGGUCGGGUUUUAAGGCGAACAAUCGAGAAUCAGCUCGUUCUUUCUUUUUUCCUUUCCUUAACCUUCUCAGCUUGUUCGACGUACACGCGUAGGUUUCUUUACAUAUCUCUGUUCCUUUGUAUCGGAUUGGUUCGUAAGCUGGUGGAAUUUUGCCCUCGCACGAUUAUCUGACACAUAGUAAUAGGACAAUUUAUUCGUGAUUUGUAAAAUUUCGUUAAAUUCUUAAUUUCAAUCUUUUUUUUGGAUCGAUCGUGCUAUAGGAUGCAGGUUGGCUGCAUUCGUUGCAAAUGAAAUAACGCGUCUUUUGUCCGAUAUUCCUAGCUAUUAAAGUCUUUGGUAAUUCGCCAGAAUAACUUCGAUACCGACACGAUCUUCGCUAUUUAGGAAGAAUCAUGAAUAUUUGAAAUGCUGUCGCCUUCAAACGCCGCCUCUUUGAAGAUCGUCUUCGAUCAUUCGGAGAUUCGACUCGUCGAGAAACUGUCACGGAUCUAAAUACCACUCCGUGAGCUUCAAGGCUAUUAAAUUACGUUACCGCCAAUCCGAAUUUACGGCGCGUUAUUGAAUAAGCUCCAGAUGAUACGCGGUAAUCCGGCGCACGAUCGAAGUUUAUAUUUAACACGGGAACAGCGAACGUAUCGAUAGGCAUUAAAUUUAAUAAAUACAUAUCAGUAACAUAGAUAGCAUUUGGUAUUAUGGUGCUCGCCACGGAUCAUCCAAUGUAUCGUCAUUAUCGUUCGCAGUGACACGGUAACCCGUAUGGCCCAGCGUAUCUCGGCUAAAGAUCGAUUUACAUCGAGCCGAAUACGUCGAUGGAUUCGCAAUCGCGACUAUUAAAUUUUUAAUGAAACCGAGCUCGCCGGCUGCUGUCGUUUAAUUAAACAGGUGGAUCGCGCGAGAAACGACGAACACCGUGUAGCCCAGCGAGAGAUGUUCGACGAACAAACGCCGCUAACAGAAUCUUCGUGGCUGCCUCGAAAUAUCGAUCUUCAUUAUCUGUCAAUCAACGUCGUCGAUCAGCAAAUGGGAAACACGUUACAUGCGUGCACACGUUGAUUCGUCGCGAUGCUUACAGAGAUUCCCUUGUUCGCUGAUUUUCCUACUCGUUUCGCGAUAAGAUCUAUAUAAUUACCCUUUCUAAGGUAGAUAGCGGUUAAGCACGAGCGAUAAAAGCGAAAAAUAUCUUUCUCGAAAAAUACCUUUUCUUUCGACCGUGUCAUAAAUCACGUAGAUCUGAAAUAAAAUAAAUAUUAUCGUACCGCUUUUGAAAUUCUCUCUUGGACUCUUGGAAUUCUCCUUACCGAUAGACCUCUAUUUUUAGAAUUCAUCCCCUAUACGUCGUGUUGCGAAUAAAAUUAUGUGUUCUCCCCUUUGAAUUAUUAAUCUCGUGUAAUUUUCGCGAUUUCUUGCUACAAAGCGAUUUGUAAUUUUUCCUAUUUCGUAAAAAAAACGAAUAAUUGCAGCGAUUGUUGUCAACCAUCGACUACGACGAUGUACAGUGUUUCUAUUUUUAAUAAAUUAUCGACUAGUCGACUGAGUUUGAUAAGAGCGACGCUAUCGAUUCGAGUAAUUUCUAGAGUAUCGUAAGACUUGUGUGUAAAAUGAUUAUUUGUAUACUUAUUGGCAAAUGUUUUCUUAUCGUUUAUCUUAAGUAUUCCUACGAAGUAGUCUAACGGAUAUUUUAUCGUUUCCUUUAUCGAAUUGUAAAGUGGAAUUAUGAAGUGGAUCGAUGUUUGCUAUCUUUAAGUCCUUUAGUCGAGACGACAUAAGUGUGAUCGAAGUAUUAUCGAAAUAUUUUUAAGAAUUUGAAAUUAACGUGAAUCGUGUAGAAGAACGUGUAUAACUUUACUCUUGAGUAUUUGCAAUAGAUUAAGCAGAUGCGCGUGAGAUAACGAUCGUAAAUCGUAAUUUUAAUGUGUCGUUUAAACGCUAGAAAUAUCGGUUCGGUUAUUUAAUAACAUUCGAUAAAGGCAAAUAAAUAAAGCACGUUGUUAUAUUUAUCAUCGAACGAUUAAUCUGCCAUUAACCAAUUAAGCAUACUCUUUAACAGUAUACAUGUUUAUAAUAGAACGAUAUAGUGCAAUUCAACGUUCUAUUCAUGUAAAUUAAUUACUUGCGGUUUUAAUUAAUCAAAUAGAAUCGAUUGUUUCUGUCCUACGUACCGAGCAUCUGGCGUAUAUCGAAUAAAAUGAUAUUCGAAGUGAUUAAUUGGUAUUGCCAUGUACAGUCAGUGUAUUAUAGAAUUUUCAUUUAAAGAUAUAAAGAUAUAAAAGAGAAAUACAAAAAGACCAUCCAUUGUUUCACGUCUAAACGAUUUCUAGAUAAUUUCUCUAUUAGUAAUUCAACGACUUUUAAAAACAAAAAUAACGUGAAGAGAAAUUAUCGGAUAUUCGCUACAUACCAUUACUGCUUUUAUCGAAUAUCACACCUUAGAAGUUAUUUUCAUGAAACGAACAAACUUCAAACGUUCUUGCCUUGAGAAACUUAUGGAUACGUUAGAAGACCCGUUAGGACGAUAAAAUGAUAAAUGGUAAGGUCUUCCAGAUUUUUCGUAAUCGUGGUAUCGAUGAAUCAGUUUGUCGGAGAUGGAUGAAUUUGAAAGAAAUAUAUAUAUAUAUUAGUCGCCAAGUAUUAAUCGUUCUUACGUAAAAGCAGAUUUAAUGGAAAAAACAAUUUCGUUAAUACACCCGAUGUGUCUCGAAAUGCGAUACGCAAACGGCAUCUAAUUGACGUAAAUGGUAUGCAAACUAAAUACGACACGUUUACGUCCAUCAAUGUUUAUUAGUAUGUUGUUCUUCUAUAUCUGAAUCGAAGCUGUAAUGAAACAUAGAUUUUAAUUAGAGUACAUUUUCCAAUAGAUUGAACGGCUUUCACGGAAGAAUAUUACUAUAUAGAUCAUUAUCGGAUUUAAUAUUCCGCUUUAAUUUCAAUAUCUAUAGCCGUAUCGUUAUUGUAAUCUUAUUGAACGUUGCUAUCGAAACAAUUAUUGUUUAAAACUUGGCAAACUGUUAAAGCUCGUUUAUAAGUCAACGAUGACGGAGAAAAUUAUUUAUUCAUAACUUGCGAUACUUUUUACGCGGAUAGAAACGAGUUAAUCGGUCUUGGUCUAUGGACGAGUGAAAUAACGAUGCUUCAUUACCGAUUAAUUUAUACCAAAAUAUUUUCUCAGGGAUAAUCAGCGAAUUAAAGGAAGUUGUACAAGAUAUUUCUAGCCGUAAUUAAGCCGUUGAAUUAUUCACGACGAUAUUCAUCGAGCCUUAUCUACGAUAAAAUUAUUACCGUUAUGGUGGAAUUAAUUUUAUCUCGCGUCGACAAUUUUUUUUCGAACCCUUUUAAGUUAAAUUCCUUUCUUUUUUUUUUUUUUUAGCAGUUACCAACAAUACAAACACAUUUGUCGAGCGAUUUUAUGGAAGGAGACAAAACGUAUUAAAAUAAAAUACGUGAAGAUAUUUGAACUUUGAACCUUUCCUUUUCGAUUCAUCUUGCGUUUACACGUAACACGCAGCCACGAAAAUUAAUUCUUGUAGGGCAAAAUAAUGUUCAAUUUUACGUUGCAAAUCGACCGCCGGUGUCCCAUCGACGUUUUGUUAUUUUCCAAUACGACUGUGUUCUGCGCUACGUGUUUCAGGGAUGAGAAAGGCGAUAGUAAAGUUGUAGAGUACAACGACUCGAGGAAAAUGUAACGACUCUGUGAGAAGUUCGUAUUGUCUCGACGAGUACCUCUAUGAUUUCCUCGUGGAAGGAAAUACGUGGAAAGAUAUGGCCCAUCGUAAAAGGAAUGCAAAGCGAGCUUCAAAAUGAACCGUCCCAGCAUCAAAGUGAAUCUACCGUCCUGAAUAAUUUGCAGCUUCCGGGGAAGAAGUUCGAGAUCUUACGAUCGCUGUUUCAGUGACAGCUAAGGGGAAUGCUUUUUCACGGAGGAAGAUGUUUCUUCUUGGCGGAAGCAAUGGAUGGAAUUCACGAAUUAAUUUCGAUGUGAUACCAACGCUAUCGAUUCCGUUUCGCGAAAGACACCUACACGUUUGGCAACGGGAACGGCCGCGUUCAAAGAAAAAAUUCGCAGGGAACUACGAAGGACGUCGGGAUUAAGCAAACUCGGCUUUGUUACCGGAGACAAUGGACGGUUCGCUUUUCGCGAUACAUUAAAAAACGAUCUGGCGAUGGCGCUUUUAUAUCUGGCGCGUUCGCUUUAACACCGCGUUAACCCGGCUAAUAGGUAGUCGCUUGCAUUUCGGUGCUCUUCGGCUCGUCCUAUCUCGCCAAAGUCCAAUUUGGUCCUGAUAACUAAACUGUGCCCGCGUUCCGCCAAUACGCAGCGAGACGGAAAUCGUAUUUCGAUCGAACCGCCGGUCUAGGCUGCUCGUUGGCAAGAAGGCAAAGCCGGGGCAAAGAGAAAGAGAGAAAGAGAGAGAGAGAGAGAGAG